UACGGAGGGUGCAAGCGUUAAUCGGAAUUACUGGGCGUAAAGCGUGCGCAGGCGGUUUGUUAAGUCCGUUGUGAAAGCCCCGAGCUCAACUUGGGAAUUGCAGUGGAUACUGGCAGGCUGGAGUACGGUAGAGGAAGGUGGAAUUCCCGGUGUAGCAGUGAAAUGCGUAGAUAUCGGGAGGAACACCAGUGGCGAAGGCGGCCUUCUGGACCAGUACUGACGCUCAUGCGACGAAAGCGUGGGGAGCAAACAGG
rnacentral:rRNA from 1 species